ACCUGGGGUACACAGAUGAUCACAAAUCUCACCGCUCAGUAUCAAGCACUGGUUACAAUCUGUCGUUGCUUUCAAGAUGUUAUGGGGGAUGUAUUGCCCAUUAGUAUUGUUCACUUUCUAUGGUAAAAGUGGAUCUCCACCAUUUGAAAACAUCCAAGACACGUCUGUGCCGUCCAUAAGAACAAUUUAUUUCUCCCAAAACAUCUGAACGCAUUAACCAGAUGACCAUCGAAAUCAGUAUAGUCUUACCGCACCAAGCUUUCCACUGCCCUCCAAGUUAACCAGGGGCUCUGGAUAAAAAGUGUGGUUAUAGUGAAUUGACUCCAUUUGGCGAUAAACUGCCAGCGGACUUUCCCGUGCCGCCGGCGGUUAACAACUUCUGGAACAACGCUAGUCAUAGAAAGGGUAGGUAGGUGUCCGUUCCGUUUUAAACCAAGUCGAAUUUUUCGCUGCCUCAUGCGGGCACACGCGUUUCUUCGCAGCGCCUCCCAAUCGCGCUUGUAGUCAAGGGGCUCUGGGCACUGCACAACGGGGUAGCCACUGACCGCCAGUGACCUGGCACUGGCCAGUGGUGCAACCGUCUGUGAACAGCGUCAAGCCGUGCUAUGUGUACCGCCACGUGGUGGGCCCUGGGUUGAGUGCGACCACAUCCGUGGCGCCUCAGGCCAAAAUUCAUAGUGCGCCCUGCUCACAGUGCCCGCUUUUUCGUGGCACUGCAGGUUUUCCCUACUAGUAGCAGUUAGCAUUAGGUGUUUCUUUCAUAUGCCAAGUGAUAAGCCAACCGACUAAGUACCCGCUAGUGGGCAAAACGAGUGCGCUAAACGCGCGUCUCAGCAGGGCGCUGACUAGUUCAAGUGUCGCCUACGUCACAGGAUCAGGCCACGCCGAUUUGCCGUCAGAGAGUGAGCUUUAUGCGUCGCUCUGAUGGCAGUGUACUCAGUGGCAGAGCAAAAAAUUGGUCACUCUUCUUUAUUUGGGCUCUCUGUUCUACACACUC
rnacentral:sRNA from 1 species